UAAACCACCAAACUCUCUAUUGGUGUGCUGGAGUCCUGGGCAAGUGGCUCAGCCUGGAGUAUUUCUACUCUAGCAACCAAAAAGCCUUCAUACACCUUUGAGGCUGUUACUGUCUUAACGGGACCACUCCUUCCCAAGGGGAUUCUCUUUGAGAAGAAAAAUGGAGAGAGGAGGGGGAGAAGAUAUUUCUGUGCCUAGCAUUAAAUGACAUCUUGCAAAGCAUGAGGUAUCUGCUUGGGAGCAACAGCCUUUGUGACAGCCUGCUGUGUGGUGUUCAGAGAGUCUGGGGUUGUUUUUCCAGUGAGCUAUGCUUCCAACCUCUCCUCCCACCUCAUUGACAGUAACAUCUGGAUCUACCCGCACUCACAGUUCUCUUUGGAACAGUGUCAGUGCAGCAAAAGAAAGACGGUUUUCUUUCCUUAUUGCUCUGUUUUGAGGAUAGCUUGCAGCUAUGUCUGGCUGGAAGGAAUGUACAGAUUUCAUGGAGGAUGGUGAAGAAACAUUUCCUUUCCUAACUGCAUCGCAUCCCUGUUUGUACACACAGUGGCUCAUAACUGGGAAAUCUUCAGUUCCAAUUCUUCUGGCAACAUACAGUAGGGAAGACAUAGAAAUGGAGGCAAUGGUUUUUCUUUCCAUCUACGGUCAGGUUGGAGAUGGAUAACACUGCAUCACCCUCAGUAAAGGGGUUAAUUAUGGAGAAAAGUGUGCUAGAGCCUCUCAGUGUUAGAAAUAGACCAAAACAGAGUAAGUGCUGCAGAGUACAGCAUCCUUUCAAGUACCGGUGUUGGUGAGAUGAGAGAUAAUACAUACUAGAGAGUGUCUAUUGAGAGAGAGGAGAGACACAUCACUUGUAUCUUGAGGGCAGAGCAUCUUAGAAAUAAUUGUAAAGAAUAAGCUUUCUUUGGGCAUUUAAUUUCCCUCCUGUUGGAAGUGCUUACCUACAGUUACCUACAAUUAAGUCUGUGAUGAGAGUGCAUGUGUGUGGGUGUCGGUAUGUGUAUGUACAGCACAAAGGCUAUAGUUAAUACACAGAACUAAACGCUUCGUUCCAGAGCCCCAAACGUACACAGCCUCUCAAUGCACAUCAAUUUCAGUGGGUGUGAGACCUUUCAAAGACCUGGAUUCAUGCAGCAAAUUCUUUGCCACUGGCUUAGGAUAAGUGAUUUUUUUCUGCUCAUGAUGCAGUACAAACUUGGAAAUCAGCUCUGCAUCUAUUCAUCAGCUGAAGUAUGAGCCCCUUUUAUUAGUGCCUUUUGUGGCAAUAACUGUGAUCUAUUUAAAGCCUUCAAACUGCAAUUCCCCACAGCAGAUGUAGUGGAAGCAGAUAUCCAUGGAAAUUAGUCAAAAUGAGCUCGUGUUGCUGUGCAAAGGGUGGGCUCUGUUCUGCUCAGCAACAGUUAUCAAAUUCCUGCCACAUGGUCUUUGUCUCCUUCUUCAGUGGUUUGGGGCUUGGUGCUAGGUUUCCUGGGGAAGUUUUGCUGCCAUUUAAAGUCCCUGCUUCAUACUCACUCUCUUUCAUUUCUCCCCCUUACAGGGCAUUCAAGGAGGAGACACUGUUCUUCUUGUGGCCUAGCUCUGAAUCUUCAAAGUUGUCAUGGCUAAAUCCGUGUGGUAUGACUGCCAGCCAUGGUCCCCUGUUAUAAGAGCAGCAAACUCAUUCUCAUCUCAGCAACUGAUCCUUCAACAAGAACUAUGAAGCUGCAUAGGCUUAACCUGCUCCAGAAAGGAACAGUCACUUCAACCAAGGACAGACUUUGCUCAUUUGCUUCCAGAUGUUCCAUCCUGCUGCACAAGGGUGAGAGGUGAUGGUAGACUAAAGAAGAAAGGAAGAUGGAAGCAGAAUAAAUCCUGAUGGAGCAGAGCAAAAAGGAACAUCAAGCGGGAAUCUACCAUACAGUGUCUUCCUCUUUGCAGGGCAGAGGCUUUGUGUCACUCCACUUCCUAGCGGAACACUGGAGACCGUAAUUGUCCA